AUGAUAACCAAAGGAAUGCCCUCAACAUUUUGUAACAGGAUGGCCGUUUGCUGGGAGUUGUCACCCCUUUGUAUCCAUGGGAGGAUGCGGCAGGAACAAGAGAAAGUGGGGAUAAAAGCAUGCAUACGUACAUCAGUGCAAAUACAGAAGAGUCUAAAAGGCAAAUGGAAUUGACUGGAAAGAGAAGACCUCAAGUUCUCUCAGGCUGGAGGCAGCCUGAGUUUCUGGAGGAGCGCUGGAGCUGUUAAAGGCAGCGGUGGGGUGGCAAAUGGCUCCUUCCUACUCUCUUUGCUGCACUGUGGAGAGGAAAGAAUAUCGAUCAAGCUCUCAUCUCAAGCUGACCAGGAGUGUCUGAGGUUGAGGAUCCAGGGCCAACGUCAAAGUGAUUGCCAAAAGGGCUCCCCCAGGGAAGCCACUGUCACCAAACAAAUAUUAAGUAAGGUCUGUUGUGGUUAGGCAAUAGAUAAUUCCAGACGAGUUACCCAUAGGCCAUAUCUUUUAGGGUUUUGAAUUCAUUCUUUCAUUCCAUAAGCACUCUGGAACGCUUGCUUGGUAUAGUACUCUUUACCAGACGUUUAAGGGAAUGUAAUAAGAAGAGCUGCCAUUUAUUAAUUCCCUACUGUAUGCAAGGCACUUUGCAUGUAUUG
rnacentral:lncRNA from 1 species